rnacentral:lncRNA from 1 species
CCUCUCUCCACGUCCACGGCGCCGAGUCUCGCCACGGUGGCGCAGGCGCCAGGGAGGUUCCCCGGCUUUGCCGCGCGGAGGAAGUCCCGGUUACGCAGAGCGCGCUGGGGCAGGGCUGACCUUCCCCUUUCUCUACUUCACUGGCCUCCUCCAGACGUGGUGGUUGCGCCCUUUCGGCCUCGCUUUCCGUUUUUUGGCUUCAUCCCCUAGAUCUGCAAACAGUUCCUCGUGUUUCUUCCGUUAGCCGGGAAACGCGAACUGCAGCGUUUGGGACCCGGGUUUGCGCGUGUGGAAAGCAAAAGGGGUUACUCUGCUGGAGUUCGACAUUGCAAAUAAAGGUCUUUAUCCCCGGCGGUUCUACAAAAUUAGUUCUGCAGGGAUUCUGGUUGAAAGAAGCGUUAAAGUGGGCCUUGUAGGAGUCAGCAAUAAUCCAAUUUUACAUGGGUGCAGGUGGCUGCCUGUGUCUAGCGCUUUCACACAUCUCAUAUCUUCAUCCACGCCGUGGGUAUUUUUUUUCCACGGUGUGUUUCUGUUGCUGCCUCCAGUAUAUUGCUUAAUCAUCCUACCUGGUAAUUAUUUAUGCAUUUUUCUCCUACUCUCGACUCAGCUCCUAGGGAAUAAAAACACAUUAACUUAUCUUUGUGCCCACAGCACCCACCAAGUAUUUCCAUCACGUAAUACUGCCUCUAGAAAGGCAGGAGGAGAAGCAGUCACGCUAAGGAUCUAGGCAAGCCAGAUCUUUUGUCCGGUUUUAGGAGGUGGCCAGCCCUUACUUAUUCCACAAGUGUUUUUCCAGAAACUCAGACUUGAUAUUGCCUCAAGUCCAAGGCAGUGUGCUUCCCCCACUCACAUAUCACUAAUAGUAGCUAACAUUUGUUCAGAUCCCUGUAUGUACUCUGCCACUGUUUUAAAUGUUACACCCGGGUUACCUCAUUUAAUCCUUACAACUGCCCUGUGAGGUAGGUACUAUUAUUAUCUCUACUUUGUAGAUGGGAUUCACCGAGGCACAGACGGUUAAAAAACCUAGCCCAAAUAACACAAAUAAACAGCAGAGCAUGCAGUGCUAGAGUCUGCAUUCUUAACAAUUGCUAUAUUCUCCCUCUCCGUGAAUGUGGGCUGAGAUGCUGAAACAGGCAUGUGCUGUGGGGGAGAAAAAGCUUUGUCCAACCAAGUGCUUUCUAAUGUCCAGAUGACAUAGAGCUAGGAUUUCCUAAUGUCUUUUUUCCCCUAUUUUUCUCUCCAUUUCAGGGUUGAGUUUGUGCAUCGAUUGUGAACACAACAGGCAGCAGGCUAUAAUGGUGGUCCUGGCUGGAGUAGUUUUCACAGACUUCAGUAAUCUGUGGAGAUGAACGGGCAGUUCUCUGUAGUUUUCACAGAUCACUGCCAGUUCGUUUUGAGGCCUUCAGGAGUGAAGACCUGGCUCAUCAUCACUCUUUGUUGUUUUGUUAAAUUUAUUUACACCCUACUUUAUUCCAGAGGAAAGGAUUUAACGUAGUUUACAUAAAUGUGUACAUCAGGGUAAAUUAAAAAUAAGUACAGAGAAAAAUAGGACAAAAGAAAACCGUGAGUGUGAAAGAUAAGAUUAAGCCAGCAGUUUUGUAUGCAAAAUGCAUGGUGUAAGGUCCUAUUGGUUUGCUGGAGGUAGGCCACACAUAUGACUCUCAGUUUUCUAGCAACCAAGAAAAAGAUCAGUUGCAAUCGGAGUAGGUGUUUUGGCUAAGCUGGAACUAGGACUUGAAUAUAGCAGCUUGUAGAGUUAUACCACUUGCCCAAAUCUCUUCCAUGAGCCUCUUUAAGUGUAACAGAAUGCCUGGGAGCACGUAAAUGCUCCUACUUAGAUGCCUACUUAGCCUCUAAUUUUCAUGGGGCCCAUGAAUCCCAUGAAAAAGAACUUUGAACCCUGUCCACAAUUAGAGUUCAGGUAUACGCAGACAUGUUUAAAGACAAGGGACACCCAAAGGAAAGAUUGCACAGAGAGAAAGUGAGCAUCCGAGAGAAAAUCACCACAAGUGAGGCAGAGGGAGGCCGGUCUCAGCAGAGUUUUGGAGGUCGUGAGAAGAAGAGGUAGGAGAUAGGAGAGUGGUUCCGAGUACUUGCCUGCUGAUGUUACCUUCUCCACCCCCACCAGGUUUUCCAGUGCCUGGAGUCUUGGGCAGGAAUGGGCCACUGUAAGAAAGAGCUUUAUCACUAGGGCCUCAGCCAACUUUUCUGUGGGAUAUCCCUCCAAAAUAAUUAAGAGUUCAGAAUGCUUCAGAUUUUGAAGUGAAACUGGUACAUAUAUUAAGUGUUACUUAAUAACCCGAUAGUUUCUAGGGCAGCUCACCAUAAUCCCAAGUAUUAGCCACCACCCUCACCCCCUUCAGAGUAAAAUGUGUUUCCUGAAGGAAGUUGGGAAAAUGAAGAAAAAAAAUACAAAAAUCACCUAUAAUCUUACCAGUCAUAGAUGGCAGUUUUCCUGUCUUAUUUCUGAAUAAUGGUUGUUAAACAUUUGCCAGCACACCAUAAGGCUUAGGGAGGCAUCUGGGUCAUGCAUGUUAAUAUCCUUGGGUAAUUCCAGAAAUCUCUAUGAAGGGAAACUCCUGUUAUUUAUCUAGACUUCCUGAUUGCAAGGGGUUUGGGCAUCAUGAUUUAGGGGUCUUAAUAAAAUUAUUAUUUUAUUUUUACUAAUAGAUAAUGUCUGUGCCUAUCAGAUAAAGGCAAACCAGUGCUCAGAGGAACCCAACCAUCUCUGAAUUGAGACCAGAGAGCUGUCUCUAUGGAUAGUCCUUAGAGAAGGCAUUUCGGAACACAGUAAACAGCAGCCUGGUGACUCCGAUUACAGGGCCAGUUGCCUUUGUUACAAUAAAAGCAAGUCAUCUACACAGAUUUUUCCUACCAGGAAGAGCAUGUGCUGACCAACAGACAUGAAUUUCAGCCUGGUAGUUACAACAUUCACAGUAUACCCACAUCACUAAGCUGGGAGGCACAUUUUGAGACCCAGAAUCCUGACACCUCCAUGCCUUCAAAAGGAUGAGCAGAUUCAUGUAUGACCAGAAUGUAAACCAGGAUCACAGAGCAGCCGGAGAGGUGGUGACAGAACCAUCGAUGGAACCCUGGGCUCCAGGAGUUUCACUCGUUGCCCAGGCUGGAGUGCAAC